rnacentral:rRNA from 1 species
GGACGGGUUAGUAACGCGUGGGAACAUACCCUUCUCUACGGAAUAGCCUCGGGAAACUGAGAGUAAUACCGUAUACGCCCUUCGGGGGAAAGAUUUAUCGGAGAAGGAUUGGCCCGCGUUAGAUUAGAUAGUUGGUGGGGUAAUGGCCUACCAAGUCUACGAUCUAUAGCUGGUUUUAGAGGACGAUCAGCAACACUGGGACUGAGACACGGCCCAGACUCCUACGGGAGGCAGCAGUGGGGAAUCUUAGACAAUGGGCGCAAGCCUGAUCUAGCCAUGCCGCGUGAGUGAAGAAGGCCCUAGGGUCGUAAAGCUCUUUCGCCAGGGAUGAUAAUGACAGUACCUGGUAAAGAAACCCCGGCUAACUCCGUGCCAGCAGCCGCGGUAAUACGGAGGGGGUUAGCGUUGUUCGGAAUUACUGGGCGUAAAGCGUACGUAGGCGGAUCAGAAAGUUGGGGGUGAAAUCCCAGGGCUCAACCCUGGAACUGCCUCCAAAACUCCUGGUCUUGAGUUCGAGAGAGGUGAGUGGAAUUCCAAGUGUAGAGGUGAAAUUCGUAGAUAUUUGGAGGAACACCAGUGGCGAAGGCGGCUCACUGGCUCGAUACUGACGCUGAGGUACG